AGUGAACGCUGGCGGUAGGCCUAACACAUGCAAGUCGAACGGCAGCACAGUAAGAGCUUGCUCUUACGGGUGGCGAGUGGCGGACGGGUGAGGAAUACAUCGGAAUCUACUUUUUCGUGGGGAUAACGUAGGGAAACUUACGCUAAUACCGCAUACGACCUACGGGUGAAAGCAGGGGAUCUUCGGACCUUGCGCGAUUGAAUGAGCCGAUGUCGGAUUAGCUAGUUGGCGGGGUAAAGGCCCACCAAGGCGACGAUCCGUAGCUGGUCUGAGAGGAUGAUCGGCCACACUGGAGCUGAGACACGGUCCAGACUCCUACGGGAGGCAGCAGUGGGGAAUAUUGGACAAUGGGCGCAAGCCUGAUCCAGCCAUACCGCGUGGGUGAAGAAGGCCUUCGGGUUGUAAAGCCCUUUUGUUGGGAAAGAAAAGCAGCAGGUUAAUACCCCGCUGUUCUGACGGUACCCAAAGAAUAAGCACCGGCUAACUUCGUG
rnacentral:rRNA from 1 species